CCCAACUAUCCCUAUUAAUCAUUACGGUGAUCCUAGAAACCAACAAAAUAGAACCAAUCCGUCCUAUUUCAUUAUUCCAUGCUAAUGUAUUCAGACUAUAGCCUGCUUUAAACACUCUAAUUUUUUCAAAGUAACAGUCCUGAUUUCCCAACACACCAAAUUAAUGACAUGAAGGUUCUUCAGAAGGUAGAAAUUCGCCACUACUGUACGGACCGUAAAGCCCGACCAUAGGACAAAUUUCGAAUUUCAACUACGAGCUUUUUAACUGCAACAACUUUAAUAUACGCUAUUGGAGCUGGAAUUACCGCGGCUGCUGGCACCAGACUUGCCCUCCAA
rnacentral:misc_RNA from 2 species